AGUUUGGCCUCUUUUGAGAUAGUGCAUUCCACCAUGAAGUCUGCUAAUAUCUGGGCUUUUAUUGCUGGCCGAGGUCAAUAGUCGAUGUCGAACUCUGUGAGCUUGACUGCCCAUUUCACUAUUCUCCCAAAGGCAUCCGCUCGAUGCAGAACCACCUUGAUCGGCUGGUCGGUGAGCAGUGUUACGGUGUGUCCUUGGAAGUAAGGUCAGAG
rnacentral:lncRNA from 1 species